AGCCACAGCACAGGACGUUGUUUCCUUCAUUGGUGUGUUUACUGUGUUAAAGGACUGAGGAUGGGAGGAGGAUUCGGCAGAAUCUUAACCAGUGGACUCGGUAUUUGGCCGAAACCCCCAAAAAUCUGGAUUCGGUACAUCCCUAAACUAAAUCAAUAGU